rnacentral:rRNA from 1 species
UGCCAGCCGCCGCGGUAAUGCAGAGGGUGCGAGCGUUAAUCGGAAUUACUGGGCGUAAAGAGUGCGUAGGUGGUUACGUAAGUUAGGUGUGAAAGCCCCGAGCUCAACUUGGGAAUUGCGCUUAAAACUGUGUGGCUAGAGUACUGUAGAGGGAAGUGGAAUUUCCGGUGUAGCGGUGAAAUGCGUAGAUAUCGGAAGGAACACCAGUGGCGAAGGCGGCUUCCUGGACAGAUACUGACACUGAGGCACGAAAGCGUGGGGAGCAAACAGGAUUAGAUA